UGCUUUGAACCAUGUGCAUUAACGAGCAGAGUGCUUGGAAAAUUCAUUACACCUGAAAACCUUGUCUCUCCCUGCUCCUGUCACUCUGACCCCUUUGAAGAAUGUACAGCCUGGUGCAGCCAGAGCUGCUGAACUGGCUGCUUGUUCAGAAUAUGCAAGAGUCUGAAUCAUGCCACUGGGUGAGGCAGGCUGGCUGGAUCAACAACACAGCUUAAAAACUCCAGGUGUAGGAGCCCAGGCUGAAGACGCAAGAGUGAGUUGGUGCUGUAUCAUUGCCAUCAGCAUCUGGGAGCCAGCUGUGAAAUGCUAGAUGAUGGGUACCAGUGAAAGGGAUCGUUAGCUCCUCCUUGGCUUCCCUGCAGUUAAGGAGGACAGUAGAAGGACUCCAGCAUGUUUCCAAGGCCAGGCUAACCAGCCAGCUCUGUGGAGAGGGCUCAGCUUAGGGGAGCCACAGUCCAUGGCUGCAACACGAGCUUGAAGCCUCCAGCUCCCUUCAUCUGCUGUAGUGCCCCUGCCACACAAACAGGAUGAGAGCUCAAAGAAAGAAGGUGGCCUUUCUGCAGCACUUCUGCACCCCUUGUUCAGGAGCUGAGUUACACCAGAAAUUACACCUACCUCCUGGGUCUUUUUCCCCUUUCACUUUGUCCCCGCUCAGUGCCUGGUCCUGUCACAGCUCCCGUGGCCUGUCAAGCUCCACUGCCCCUCGCUCUCAACUCAGACCAUGCAAAAUGAUGAGCAACGGUGGGAAGCCGUCCGAAGCAGGGAGGGUCCUGCCCCUCAGGAGCUUGUCGUUGGCAGCGCCAGGGGAUUCUCUGCAGGCACUGUCCAGGCGGGGGAGAGCCCCGAGGCGGGCAGCACCCCAGUGUCGAUCCCUUCGCUAGGCACAGAGACCAUUUCCCAGCGCCUGGGCGGGGGAGAGCCCCGAGGCGGGCAGCACCCCAGUGUCGAUCCCUUUGCUAGGCACAGAGACCAUUUCCCGCCGCCUGGGCGGGGGAGAGCCCCGAGGCGGGCAGCACCCCAGUGU